GGUGCGUUCCGUUAUGCACUGCAAGUACUGGCACUAUGGGUGCAUUCGUUUAUGCAGCGAUUAGCGCAUCCACUGCGCAUCUACUGCGUCUAUUAUCUGCGAGUCACGUGACAUCAUUUACCGAACGAUCACCUGCGUGAAUUGACUGCUCAGAUUGUAAUUGGAGUGCACAGUGAUGACAGUAGGAUUGAAAUGUUGCUGAAUGUAGACUUCUCAGAUUUUUCCAAACUAACUGGGGGCGAAGUAGCUUGAUAGCUAGGAAUGACUACAACGUUUCCAAGUUCAAUUGGCUUAACAAUGGAGAAGACUACAUUCGUUUACGCAGUAGUCCGCAGUACUGCGAGCAGAGCAUCCUGAGCAGGACCUCCGAGAUGGCUGCGCAGAUAGGCAGCAGCUCUGCUUAAACGAACAACAAACUGCGCUGCAGUCGGUUGCGCAGGUGGAGUAAACGAACGACAUCUGCGGCAUUCUGCGGCAGUCUCUGCAUAAACGAAUGCACCCUAUGACGUCAUGCAAGUGUACUGUUGACAG